UUCUGUUGCUCAAAUUAAUUAGGAUUGUGAUUCAUUUGUUUAAUGAAGAAUCUGAUGGCGAGAGGCAAACCAGCCUAGCCUUGCAGAGCUCAGCCAAUCCCGGGUGACAGUGCGGCAGAUGGGGUGGGACCAGGCCUGGAGCUGGUCGCUGAUGAGCAGAAGCAGCCAAUGAAUACGGAGAUGGAGGAGAAGCCGGCGGGAGCCACUGCUGUUCCCCAAAGCUGGUGACUAGGACGACUCUCAGACCCCGAGCUUGGAAAGCUUUCCAUGCUUUGCCUAGAGGUUUUCGACCUCCUGCUUCCUCUGUGCGGAACAACUGCGAACAGCUGAACGCGCCUCAUUAGCACUCCCGACCGAUCCACCCAUUUCCUCCUGCCACCCACAAACGCCAGACUCUUAAACUUCUUGCAACACAAAGUAGGAACAGAUAGCUUGCACCGGCUUACUCCCACCUCUUUACCCAGAAUUCCCUGCCUGCCUGUGGAAGGGCCGCCCACCCCACAGUAGCCUCUGUGAACCUGGCUCUCAGCUGUAGUUACUGAGCACACACUUCCUGGAAACCUCUCCUGGAACUCAGUUAUACCUCACUUAAAAGGAAGCACUACCUGGGGACCGGAAUCCAAAAUGGAGUGAGCGAUGAUACAAAUGCUCAGCCCCCUGGGCCUCAGAUCACCUGGCUUCCAAAGGUGCCUCCUGUCAUCUUACUUCUCUCAGUGACUGGGGGAAUCUAAGCCUGAAUGUUUGUCACUCAUUGUGCCUUGUCGUUCUGAAGGACUUGUCAACACACAUCCAGCCCAAGGUAGGGUGAUCUGACAUGCCCCCUCUAGUUACAUGUCACCCCCUUGCUGGUUGCCCUCUGUCUGCCCUGUCUUCCUUUCCUCCAUAAAGUGCCCUAACCGAUUGUAAAGCCCUGGCCAAUGGCUGCUUUCCUCCCUGUGCUGUGGUUGGAUAUGAAUGCCUUACAGAAGUCUGCCUGUUGGAGACAAUGUUGAACUGCUGGGACUUCUAAGAAGCGAGACUUACUGAAAGGCCUGUAGAUCAUCCGGUUGCCAAGGGAUAAGGUAGUUCUCACAACAGGAUCGCUAGAGAAGAGCCUGGCUGCUGUGUCACUCUGCCUCAUCCUGUGGUCCCCUCACACACCUUCUUACCAUGAGAUGCCAUGUACUAUGAAGUCUUCACCAGAGCCAGCCUGAUGCUGGUGCCAUGGCCUUGAACCUUCAGAAGUGUGAGCUGCACAAAACCCUUUAUAAAGUUACCGAGUGCCAGUAUUUUGUUACAGUGCUGUAAAGUGAACCAGUGCCACAUACAACAUUACUGGCUAGGGGUACAGGAUGGCAGGUGGACUCCAACAUCAAGGCUGGCUGGAAAGCAAGGCUUUUGAGCAGGAGUGAUGGGAUCAGAUCUGAGAUGAUGAUUUGCAUGGAGAAUGGAGGAUAGAGUCAGUUAGAAAGCUGUCAGAAUAGUCCUCCAGUAAAUGGUAUUUUAGUUGUAGCAAAAUACCUCAGAAUGACUCUGUUUCCCACCUGUCACCACGUGUCCUUCAGAGAGGACAAACAUUAUCCUCACAUGACGAAACACCUCUCUGAAGUAUGUGUGUGCCUUGUCACAGAAUUAGUGUAGUAGUUAUUGUCCUGACAUGUACAGUCAGCUGGAAACAGGCCUCUGGGCAUGCCUUGGGUGGAUUAUCUUAACUGAGCUAAUUGAAAUGAGAAGAUCUGCCCAUUGUGGGUGGCAGCAUCCCCUGGGAGGGCGUCUCUAGACCCAGACAAUAUAAAAAGAUGUGAGCUGAGUAAAAUCAUUCAUCAUUCUGUUCCUUGACUGUGCUUGGAGUGUGACCCACUGCCUCAGGCCUCUGUGACUUCUCCACCAUGAUAGAUUCUGUGAGCCAAAAUGAAUUUUUAAGAUGCCUUUUUCAGGGAACCUUAGCAACAAAAAAAAAGUCAUUAAGACAACUAGGGAUCUUAAUUAAAGGCACAAAACUUGAGAGGUGGGGGAAACUGCCAAGGAGCUGGGAUCCCUGCACCGAGGCCAUCCAUCACCCGAUAGCCAGUCCUUGGGUCCUGAGAAGUGGUCAGUUCCUUGCACAUGCCCGGCCAGAAUGAAAAGUUUCAGCAUUGGAAGGUACUUUCAGUCGUCCAUUCACUAAUGUCUCAGCAGGAAACAGAACUCUGUUCUAAUAGGUCAACUAGAGACUGACGACCUAUUUACAGAGAGCUGCACGGGAUUAAAGAUGCCGAGGAGAACACUGGGAAAGCUGGAGACUGCAGACCACCAAGGCCUAGAGGAGUGGCUGGACCUGAAGAAGGUUGGGCAUGGGCGAAAGAGCUGUGUGCAGGAGCUUAAGCCAAACGGAAGAGCAAAAAGUAUCCCGAUCUCUCCUUCCAGUCUCCUGCCAGUGCCUCCCGUUGGCCAAACCACAGUGGAGUCAACCAGCAGGGAGUCUGGCUGCAGGGAGCAAGGCAUGGAAGCAACAACACAGUCCUGAGGCUGGCAGGGACAGGAGGAGAAGGCUCUGCCUGACUGGUGGCCAGCCCCCCCCCCACCAGUCCCUGGGGCUGCUUACUGAUCCAGCACAAGAUGGUUGAACUGAAGUCUUUACAAUAAAUGGUGCAGAAAAGCAACACCCUUAGUCUGCGGUGAUCCUCACAGAAACAGAGAGAGCUGGGAAACGCUGUGAGAGCAAGCAAGUGCAGUCAGAUGACGACUGUUGGAAAGGGCCUAAGACCAAGAAGUCAUAGAGCCCUAGACUCAGUCAAGUGUCUGCCCUUCUGAGCUGUUCUGUCCUGGUCAAGGCUUGGGAAGAGCCUAGACCACAUCUCCUGCCCUACUCCAUUCCCAUUGCAGCCUCCCAGGCAGUUACUCUUCCAGGCCUCGUAGUAUCUCACACUUCAUUCACGCUGCUCUCUCCUGCUGCGAUGCCCUCCAUUCCUCUGCAACGCCCACCUUCAUUGUUCCUAACCCCCUUGGACCUGCCUCCUUCCGGAAGACUCCACUAUCUUGCGUAAAUGGCCCUGUCAUGAUGGCCACCUGUCCCCUUCUCUCACUAGAGCAGUCUCCCUCUCUCCCUGGCUUAGCUUCUCUUGUAGAUACAAGGCAAGAAGUGCAUUUUCUCCUUCUCACCUUCACUUGCCUAACAGGCCUCAUUGGGAUCAGGUUCUGAGAGGAAGCAGCAGGUGGAGAGAGGGGAAACUCGGGUCCAGAGGCGGACACAGCCAAGCACAGCCGGCACUGAAGAUACCAGCUCCUGUGCUGCCCUGAGCAGCCUCCCAGCUCAUUAGGAUGGAGCGUUCAUCAUACACUUGUAUCUUUAGCAUGGGACAUAGCCUCCCCUGGGCCUGGGCCCAGCUGGUUCUCUGCUCAGAUUCAUAAACUCAUAACCGACUCAGGACAUAGGAACUGUGCUGUGAAAUCAUAAAGUGAGUGUCUGAAAGAAUCUUAUUCAGAGAGAGUGAGGUCUCCAUGCUCCCAGUCCAAGACGUAGGACUCUGCAGCUUCCUCCUGGAUAUCUUAGCUGUUCAUCUCAGAACCCAAGUGUCACAUGAUAAGAAACCCAGGCUAUGGGAGAAACUAUAGGUACUCAGGGUGACAACACCAGCUGCCAACCAUCUCAUGCCAAGAGAAAGCCAUCUUGGAUAUCCAGCCAGUGAAGCCCUCAGAUGACCCCAGACCCAGCUACUGCCUGGUACAACCAUACAACAGACAAAGAACCUUCCAGCUAAAUUCAGCCAACCCAUGGAACUGUACAGGAUAUUUUACAGUGUUAGAAACUUCUUGCAUAUAGGUGCAACUUUACAAGUGAGUAACUAUGACCAGAACUGUCAUGUGACUUACUGCCUUGAGGCAGAGUCCGGUGCCUGUCACCUUAAUCCCACCACAAGAAAAGGUAGAGAGAGGUGAGCUCUCCAGAGCAGAAGAGGAGGAGAGGGAAAGAUGAAUCUUGUAGAAAACAUCCCAAAUUUAUCCCAUUUAUGAAGGAAAUUGCUCGCUGUGUGAUUUUUGUUUUCAGUCUUCCAAAAAGUGUCUUGGAGUUUAUAGAGUUAAUUGUUCUUAUUUCUGCCUUGGGUUGGUUAUAUCACACACACACACACACACACACACACACACACACACACACACACACGGUGCACACGCCUUGAGAUAAUUAGCAACAAGCUUAUUGGACCACAUUUUUCAGGGAGACUAUGGCCUCAAUAGAAGAGAAAGGAGUUCCCUAUGGAAGCCCCAAAGAAGGCCAAGUAACAAACUAAGUGAAGUGUCCAGAGAAAUAUCUGUAUUUUCUGAAUGAUCCAUCAAAAUAGCAUGCACCCAUAAGGUUAGGGCAAGCUAAAGGGGCCCAGAGCCAUCCACCACAUCCAACAGUGCUGGGAAAACGUUGCUCAGAAGUGAACCUAGACCCUUCUCCAAUUCAAUGCUGGGGAAUGCAGCUGAACCACACACUCAAAGGGAAAGUCCUAGAUUUGCCUGGUUUUCCCAGGCCCUUAAAUGGAAGCACCAUGAAUUUUUUAAGGCCUGACCUGCUCAGUAGGCAGCAAUGGGGAAUUCAGGAAAACGGCAUGUUACUGCAUAAUGAGCUGGAGGUCAAGCUGGCCUUGGAUGUAAAGACAUCAACUAAGAUAUGGAUAGCCCUUGGUUUUUUUUAACUGGGCUCCAGGUCCCCUCUGUGUCAUAGAACAUUGAAGAAGCUGCCAUCUUCUCAACAUGUCCCAGGAGCUCUACUUGAUUUUGGUCGGUCCUCCAGUGACCCUCAGAGGGAAUUAUUAGCUCAUUGCAAGAUGAAAUUUGGAGUCCUGGUUCCCUGGACACACCCAUGGCCUAUAAAUUUGGAGUGGUCAGUGGUGUGGUUCUACUGAUCACAGCUGGGCUCACUGGCCAUCUACUGGUCCAGGCUGGCCUCAGCUGCCCCACGUGACUGUCAUCCUCCAUCAGGCCAGCCCAAGUGUGUUCUCAUGACAAUAGCUAGGGUGCACAAAAGAAAGCAAGCACAUCAAUUUCCCAAGGGUUUUGUUGUUGCUGUUCAAGCUCUUGCUUGCAUGUCCUUGUCACCCUUCCUUUGACCCUGACCAGAGAAAGCUGUAUUGCCAAGGCCAAAGUCAAAACCAGAGCAUGCUGAAAGCCAAUGGUGACAAGGUUUGAUGGGUCCAGGUUAGGGUUCAGAUCACCUGCUUUGCAUGUGAAAGGCCCUGGCUUCAAUCCCCAGCACUGACAUGUAUAUAUUAGAGGUCAUUUUUGCCAUCUACUUCUUGACCUAGGCAAUUCCAGUCUCAGAACCACUGUUCCCAUGUUAUUUUGUACAUGGCUAUAUCUACUUUGUAAGGUGGCUGAGGCCAUUGCUAAGUGUUCUUUCUGCAAGUGUAUUUCACAAGCCCAGGGGUGUCUGCACACACUAGCUGAAGAAACACACAAUGAACUCGCAUCCUAUUUCCAGAGUCCUGAAAUUUCACAUAAGCCCUCAGAGGUGAGCCAGCCUAGUCGCUGACAUGAUGAACAAGACUUGAAGGGAGAGAAUAAAUCAAGGCAGAAAACAAUGAGUCCAUGAUGUAAUUAAAGUUACUGUGAAAGAGCCUCUAAAGGAGAGAAUGAGUCAGCCUCAAAUGCAAGCAAUGAAUCAGGGAGUGUCGCGUUGUAGAAUUCUUGGCUAUUUCCAGAAAGCCUGCUGUCCCAGUUAAAAGAGCACCUUGAGCUUGAUGCUCAACAUCUGGAAGGAAACACUUCUGUCACUCUAAUGCCUUUUGCAUUGCCGCCACAGGCAGUGGGAGCAGCCCUGGGAACAGGCAGAAGAUUGCCAACCCUGAAAUCCUCAAGGGAGAAAUGGAUAGGCAAAGUAUUGCUCAAAAGUGCUCAAGGGGAUUUUAGCUUCACCGAGUGGAUUUGAGCUAUCAUUUCUAAGAUACAAGGGUGGAUCCAGAAUUCUGAGUGGAGGGCUGAACCUGGAAACUCUACAAGACAGAUGGAUGUGUCCUCAAGGAAUGCAGUGAUGAGUCCAUCCAGGCUAUUGUGGCUGUGCUUUGGAGGCCAAACAAUGUUCUAUGUCAUUUUGGGUUCUCAGGAAGUAUCUAACUGGUUAACUCGAAACCUCUUUGUUGUUAUUUUUUUGUUUUAUUUUUGCUUUUGUCUUGUUUUUGUAAGGCAGGAUCUGAUGUAGCCCAAGCUGACUUCAAACUUCCUAUAUAGCUAAACCCAUCCCUGAACUUCUGAUCGUCCUGCCUCCACCUCCUGUUGCAGGAAUCUCUCUGAAAUAAGCUUUUGUGGUCAGGUUGUUAAGGGAAACAACCCAUUGUUUCAGCUGUUCUCCAGGUCAUUCUGGUCCAGGUAGCAAGUGAUGUCAUGCUUGGAAAUGAGUGGUAUAAGCAGUGUUCUUAGUAAAUCAAUA